CUGUUAGUUUUUCAAAUGAAAAAUUGUAUGCUUGGAUCCUAUCCCUAAAACAUGGUUAACUUGUGGCGGAUCUUUAACUUUACCCCUACAGCAAUUCUUGAAAUAUAAGGGAAACUGUUUAUUGGCAAUGAUUCAGCAUUAAAUUUUUUCAGUGGACACAAUGCAUCGAUAUUUAUUCAGAAAACUUAAAAAGCACAAACCAUAAGUACUAUGAAGACGAAAGUGAAUGUCUUAAAACUGCCAAUGGAGAUGAUAAAGAACCCAGGAAAGCAGUCGAUCAAAUAGAAAAGGAGAUAAAAAAAUGGCGGAAGAGCUUCAAGUACCUUACUCAUUUGUGUGAAAUUGAACAUCCUGAUAGUGAAGAGGAUGCUAAAACUUGUCUAGUCGAGUAUAUCGAAAGAGAUAACUACAACUUCACCCUACAAAGGCUGAUGCUUCUGAAGCUAGAAGCGAUGGGUCAGCUCUACAUCAAACUAUCCUCAUCGAUAGAAAAUUUGGAAGAGUGUUUGAAAAUUACCCUGUCUGGGUACCUGGAAAAUGCUAGAUCACUUUUAAAGUCUAUACACAGGUGCUACAAUGGGAGAAGAAAGGAAAAUUCUACUGAUUUAAACGCAUAAGUUUCAAACGGCAAAACAUAAUACUCGUAAGUAAUAAGAUCAAAAUUGCUCAACCAACUUCAGGUCGAACGAAGCAAUGUAUUGUUAUAAGAAACCUACGUGUCCAUCCCAAAAAAAAAAAAAUACGUGAAGCUAGCAAUAACACAAUUCAAGAUUAAUAUCUUGACUCGCGUUGAAUUAAUCAAACCACUUAAUUAAAAAAUUACCAUCUUCCUAGGUAACGAUAUUUUAUGCUAAAAACAAUCAGUGCACUUACCAGUU